GAUGAACGCUGGCGGCGUGCCUAAUACAUGCAAGUCGAGCGAACAGAUGAGGAGCUUGCUCCUCUGACGUUAGCGGCGGACGGGUGAGUAACACGUGGAUAACCUCCCUAUAAGACUGGGAUAACUUCGGGAAACCGGAGCUAAUACCGGAUAAUAUAUUGAACCGCAUGGUUCAAUAGUGAAAGACGGUUUUGCUGUCACUUAUAGAUGGAUCCGCGCCGCAUUAGCUGGUUGGUAAGGUAUCGGCUUACCAAGGCAACGAUGCGUAGCCGACCGGAGAGGGGGAUCGGCCACACUGGAGCUGAGAGACGGUCCAGGCUCCUACGGGCGGCAGCAGUAGGGACGCUACCGCAAUGUGCGAAAUCCUGACGGAGCAACGCCGCGUGAGUGAUGAAGGUCUGCGUAUCGUAAAACUCUGUUAUUAGGGAAGAACAAAUGUGUAAGUAACGAUGCACGUCUUGACGGUACCUAUCAGAAAGCCACGGCUAACUACGUG
rnacentral:rRNA from 1 species